ACUUUUUGCAAGUGCUAAUAAAAAGGAAGUGCCAAGAAACAGAAGAGAUUGCAUUUCCUCUAAGCCUGAGUAGCACAUACAAUAAAAAAAAUGUUGCAGAAAACCUAGUGGGACUGAAUGGGAGCUUGUCAUACAGAAACUCACUGCAACCUUCUGUGGGCUUCAAAACUCAGAGUGAUAAAAAUCUCUGCAGCUAUGGUAAAGCAGAGUAACAAAGAAUAGCAAAGUCACCUUGACUGGAGGUUUAAUAGUGAUUCCUCUGUCUGCUUAAAGUGCCUGGAAUUUCAGAAGCAAAGGUCCAAAUGAGAACACAGCUCUUCAGCAG